rnacentral:rRNA from 1 species
AUUGAACGCUGGCGGCAUGCCUUACACAUGCAAGUCGAACGGCAGCACGGGUGCUUGCACCUGGUGGCGAGUGGCGAACGGGUGAGUAAUAUAUCGGAACGUACCUUAUCGUGGGGGAUAACGCAGCGAAAGCUGUGCUAAUACCGCAUAAGCCCUAAGGGGGAAAGCAGGGGACCGUAAGGCCUUGCGCGAUUAGAGCGGCCGAUACCUGAUUAGCUAGUUGGUGAGGUAAAGGCUCACCAAGGCAACGAUCAGUAGCUGGUCUGAGAGGACGAUCAGCCACACUGGGACUGAGACACGGCCGAGACUCCUACGGGAGGCAGCAGUGGGGAAUUUUGGACAAUGGGGGCAACCCUGAUCCAGCAAUGCCGCGUGAGUGAAGCAGGCCUUCGGGUUGUAGAGCUCUUUUGUCAGGGAAGAAACACCGGCUCUAACACAGUCCGGGAAUGACGGUACCCGUAGAAUAAGCACCGGCUAACUACGUGCCAGCAGCCGCCGUAA